CUGGAGGGAGCCUGCGCCGUGGGGAAACCGUGGAAGUGUGGGGAAUGCGGGAAGGGUUUUCGAGUCCCCUCUGAGCUGGAGAUCCACCGGCGCGGUCACACCGGGGAGAGGCCGUUCUCCUGCCCCGAGUCCGGCAAGGCCUUCAUUGGGUCCUCCAAGCUGCUGAGGCACCGGCGGGUCCACACCGGGGACAGGCCGUACCCCUGCCCCGAGUGUGGCAAGGCCCUUCACCCAGCUGUCCCACCUGCAGACGCACCGGCGCCUCCACACACCAGGGAGAGGCCUCUCACCUGCCCCGAGUGCGGCAAGGCCUUCAAUCGAUCGCCGACCCUGCGGACGCACAGGCGCCUUCCCAACGUGAUCGCACGGAGUUGAAGUCUGCAGCGAAUCCCACCCAGGACUGGGGGGAUCGUGCCCGUGGGGGGAUUGUGCCCCGUUCGAAGACAGUGGGUGAAGCGGGAAGGGAGCGAGGCUUCCUUUCUGCCGGACUGGCCGCUCUCGCUCCCUUUGCUUCCCGUGGGACCGAUGCUGUUUGAGGCUGGGACUGCACGUUCCCCGGGCCAAAGAUCUGCAGGAGCUGAGGAAGUGCACUCCUUUCACACCGGAUGGGCCACCAGAAGCCUUCUCAGUACUCUACAAGUGACUUCACCAACAUCCUGUACAACUUCAACAUGAUGUCCCAACUCCUUUUAUUCAAUGGUGUGAACUAUUAAGGAUCUGAAGAUGGAAGUUUCAAAAUCAACAGAUGAAGGCCUUAUGCCCAAAACGUUGACACUCCUGCUCCUCGGAUGCUGCCUGACCUGCUGUGCUUUUCCAGAGCCGCACUUUCUGACUCUGACUGACUCUCCAGCGUCUGCAGUCCUUACUUUGACGUCCAUGUCUGAGAGUCAUUCAAUCUAUCGGGACCGCAACAGUUUUCAACUAUGAUUCUGUGAGAAGGAGCAAAGCUUUUUGGUUCCUGUUUGGGUACGUUUUCAGCAUCAGUGGGACUGGAUGAGAGACCCUACCGUUGUAAUGCACUGAGUGAGGAGCGUGUAACAGCUCUACGGUUUGGAAAGAGGAAUUCACGGUGGAGAGAAGCUCCACAUGCGUUUGUGCAGCUGAAGCUUCGGCCAUGGAGAAACCCGAGGAAUCCCGCCCCAUGGAGAAACCAUGGAAGUGUGGCGACUGUGGGAAAGGCUUGUUUCCCGUCUGCCCUGGAGACUCAUCGGCGCAGUCACACUGGGGAGAUGCCGUUCCCCUGCCCUGACUGCAGGAAGGGCUUCAGCGAUUCCUCCAACCUCCAGACCCACCAGUGGAUCCACAUGGGGGAGAGGCCCUUAAGCUGCCCCGAGUGCGGGAAGGCCUUUACCCAGGCCGCCUCCUUGCUGACCUACCAGCAUUGCAGGGGGAUUGAAAGAAAGACGGCCGAGUGCCUUUACCAACUGGACUAUUAACCCAGUUCCAGUGGCUCUCGAGUUCGAUUCCCACCGCGACAGAUGGUGGAAUUGGAAUUUGGUCAGAAAUCUGGAGUUCAGAAUCUAACGGUGAAACUAUUGUCGGUGGGGUGGGGGUGGAAGAAAACCCCCAUCUGAUUCGCUCAGUUCUUUUUGAGGGAAGACUUGAGCAGUUAUUAGAGCAGUCAUCCCAGCUGCAUCCUUUACCCGGUCUGGCCUACACGUGACCCCAGACCCACAGUAGUCUGGUUGACUCUACGCUGCUCAUCCAACUUACUUGGAUACAGGUUGAAAUUGCUGAGUGAGGCAAUACUUCCUCCAGGUUAAGGCUAUACCAAGGAUCCAAUUACAAAGGGACAAUUCAGUAGUGACCCAUAAUGAAGAAAGUGAGGGGUUGCACUUUGACCUUGAGCUGUUUUUAAAAAGUUGCUACUUUUUUUACGCCUUUCUGCUGGGAGAUUCUGAAGCUGUAACAAAGUUGGGUCACAAUAAAGAUUACCUGAACUUCA